UACGAAGGGGGCUAGCGUUGCUCGGAAUUACUGGGCGUAAAGCGCACGUAGGCGGCUUGUUAAGUCAGGGGUGAAAUCCUGGAGCUCAACUCCAGAACUGCCUUUGAUACGGGCGAGCUUGAGUUCGGGAGAGGUGAGUGGAACUGCGAGUGUAGAGGUGAAAUUCGUAGAUAUUCGCAAGAACACCAGUGGCGAAGGCGGCUCACUGGCCCGAUACUGACGCUGAGGUGCGAAAGCGUGGGGAGCAAACAGG
rnacentral:rRNA from 1 species